rnacentral:rRNA from 1 species
AGUGAACGCUGGCGGUAGGCCUAACACAUGCAAGUCGAACGGCAGCACAGUAAGAUCUUGCUCUUACGGGUGGCGAGUGGCGGACGUGUGAGGAAUACAUCGUAAUCUACUUUUUCGUGGGGGUUAACGUAGGGAAACUUACGCUAAUACCGCAUACGACCUACGGGUGUAAGCAUGGGAUCUUCGGACCUUGCGCGAUUGAAUGAGCCGCUGUCGGAUUGGCUAGUUGGGGGGGUAAAGGCCCACCAAGGCGACGAUCCGUAGCUGGUCUGAGAGGAUGAUAGGCCACACGGGAACUGAGACACGGUCCAGACGACUACGGGAGGCAGCAGUGGGGAAUAUUGGACAAUGGGCGCAAGCCUGAUCCAGCCAGACCGAGUGGGUGAAGAAGGCGUUCGGGUUGUAAAGCCCUUUUGUUGGGAAAGAAAAGCAGCAGGUUAAUACCCAGCUGUUCUGACGGUAACCAAAGAAUAAGCACCGGCUAACUUCGUG